UACGUAGGGGGCAAGCGUUGUCCGGAAUCAUUGGGCGUAAAGAGCGUGUAGGCGGCCCGAUAAGUCCGCCGUGAAAGUCCAGGGCUCAACCCUGGAAUGCCGGUGGAAACUGUCGGGCUCGAGUUCGGAAGAGGCGAGUGGAAUUCCUGGUGUAGCGGUGGAAUGCGCAGAUAUCAGGAGGAACACCGAUGGCGAAGGCAGUUCUCUGGGCCGUAACUGACGCUGAGGAGCGAAAGCGUGGGGAGCGAACAGG
rnacentral:rRNA from 1 species